CCCUUAGAUGUCCUGGGCCGCACGCGCGUUACACUGAUGCAUUCAACGAGCUUAUAACCUUGGCCGAGAGGCCUGGGCAAUCUUGUUAACGUGCAUCGUGAUAGGGAUAGAUUAUUGAAAUUAUUAAUCUUGAACGAGGAAUUCCUAGUAAACGCAGAUCAUCAAUCUGCAUUGAUUACGUCCCUGCCCUUUGUACACACCGCCCGUCGCACCUACCGAUUGGAUGGUCCGGUGAAGCCUCGGGAUUGUGGUUCUUGCCGCUUUAUUGUGAGUUGGUUGCGUGAACUUGUCUAAACCUUAUCAUUUAGAGGAAGGUGAAGUCGUAACA
rnacentral:rRNA from 1 species